AGCUGCGUGGCGCAGCGGAAGCGCGCCGGGCUCAUACUGGCAACCGCAGAGACCCGGAGGACCCUAGAUCGAAACGAGGCGCAGCUA